AGCUUUUUUAGAUCUAACAACAACUGUAAAUACUCGUGUGAGAAAACCGGAGGAUGCACGGUUUAUUGGACUGGGUUAAGUAGAAGUGGUUUUACGAGAGGGUACUGUACAAGUAGUGGUAAAUGUGCCGCAACACCGCCAGAGUGCUCUGACUGCAAUCAGUACUGUCAGCACUACAGG